CUUCUCUGCAGCUGCUUCAGCAUGUGUUGGCUCAGAACUUGAAUGACAAACCAAGAGACCAAAAAUUAAGCCAGCUGAAGCACAUUCUUGUGACCAAGAUACAGAUCCCACAUUACUCUUAAUUUUGGACAGCAUUCCUCGUUUUGACAUUGAAAGUCUCAAGUUCAAAUUUUGAUAUGCUAGUGAAAUAUUGAAGUGUCUCUUUAAAGGACC
rnacentral:misc_RNA from 1 species